rnacentral:lncRNA from 1 species
AAAUGCUGGCAUUGGAGAGAAAUAAUGAUAGCUUAAAGGACAGCUGUGUUAUUUCAGGCUCUUAUUGUAGGUAGUUUCUGUGUUCUGGGGACUAGGAUUUUGACCUGCUUUAUAUUGGAUCCAUACCAUAAUAAGCACUGCUAUUGCUUGCCUCCUCUGCCAAAGCUCCUCUCACUAUAGGCUCAUCCUCCAAGCAUGUGAAACAGCUUUGAAUGCAGAUAGAGGUCUCCGAACUGGCCAAGCAGACGCCAUCCUUAAUCAUAAGGAACUCCUGGUGGUAAAUGCUGUUGGAAGGUCUCAGAAACAAAGCAGUUAUCAGCUGAUUUGAACUGAUACCUGCUGUUAUGUGGAAUGAUCUUUUGAAACAUUUUAUGCUGGUUUAAGAUGCACUGGUGAGAUGGAAAACCAGCGAGUCCCUUUAUAGCCUUCGUCUCUCUUCCUGCAUGAAUGCUUCUUCAGGCAAUUCCUAUUACGUUAGAGACUGUAUCAGUUACACACUUUUGACCAAGAAGACAUUAAUUGAAGGCCUUGUGUGGGUGUGUGUGUGUUGUGUGUAUGUUUGUACUCUGCCAGGCCCUAAUUCUUCCCUGUUCCUGCCCUUAAAUCAGUAUAUCUCAAACUUCAGUAUGCUUUAGAAUUUUCUGGGCCACUUAUUAAAACUUUACUUACUGGGCCCCAUACCUAGAGUUCCUGACUCAGUUGUCCUAACAGGAAACGGUAAGAAUGUUCAUUCCCAACAAAUAUAGAGUGAAACAUUUGCCCCAGGUCACAGGCUACUUUAAGAAUCACUGCUAUAGAUAACUGUUGGUAUACCGAAUAAAAGGGGGCACACAACUGGAUCUUACAAAAAUUAUUCUUAAAGACUAAUAAGAUGGAAGCCUAAGAAAAGGGUUCUGGUUGUGGUGAGAAGGGAGCAGCGAAGGAAAAGUGGGCAUUGGUGGGAGCCUCUGUGCAAGGCCUUGGAGCAUGAGAGGGACUGGGCAAGUAGGAAGCUGCAGAAGGAAGUGCUCUUGGAGCACAGAAGGUUACCAGAUCUUCCAGUUACACCAGUUUCCUGGUCUUCCAUUUCUCCUCUGGUCAGGGGGAGUAUAAGGGAGCAAAAGAUGAAGUCUAAAGAAAUCUCCUGCUUGCAUUGAAAAGCCCUGACUUUCACUGUCCCAGAGCCAGGACUGAGGCUGUCAUCCGAAGGCAGUGCCCAUCCCCUAGAUCAUGCUGAAGUGAAUCCAUUUCCUUUAGAAACC